rnacentral:rRNA from 1 species
UACUGGUAGUCUUGAGUCUGGAGAGGAAAGCGAACGACACGUGUAGCGGUGAAAUGCGUUGAUAUGUGUCGGAACACCGAUGGCGAAAGCAGCUUUCUGGACAAGUACUGACGCUGAGGUUCGAAAGCCAAGGGAGCGAACAGGAUUAGAUACCCUGGUAGUCUUGGCCAUAAACGAUGUUCACUAGGCGUCGGGGCUUUGCUUCGGUGCCGCAGCUAACGCAUUAAGUGAACCGCCUGGGAACUACGAUCGCAAGAUUAAAACUCAAAGGAAUUGGCGGGGGCCCGCACAAGCGGUGGAGCAUAUGGCUUAAUUCGAUGCAACGCGAAGAACCUUACCAGGGCUUGACAUGCAACUGCACGCUGUAGAGAUACAGUUCUUUCGAAGGUGUUGCACAGGUGGUGCAUGGCUGUCGUCAGCUCGUGUCGUGAGAUGUUGGGUUAAGUCCCGCAACGAGCGCAACCCUCACGGUCUGUUACCAGCGGAUAAUGCCGGGGACUCGGACUGAACUGCCUCUGUAAAGAGGAGGAAGGUGGGGAUGACGUCAAGUCAUCAUGCCCCUUACAGGCUGGGCUACACGCGUGCUACAAUGGCGGUGACAGAGGGACGCAAUGGAGCAAUCCUGCGCAAAUCUCAAAAAGCCGUCUCAGUUCGGAUUGUGCUCUGCAACUCGAGCACAUGAAGUUGGAAUCGCUAGUAAUCGCAGAUCAGCACGCUGCGGUGAAUACGUUCCCGGGCCUUGU